CCGCCAUUAGCUCAUCGGGAAGAGCAAGCAACCUCAAUGUUGUUUUAGUACGGGGUUCGAGGCCUCGAUGGCGGACCA
rnacentral:tRNA from 2 species